rnacentral:rRNA from 1 species
UACGGGGGGGGGCAAGCGUUGUUCGGAAUUACUGGGCGUAAAGGGCUCGUAGGUGGCCAACUAAGUCAGACGUGAAAUCCCUCGGCUUAACCGGGGAACUGCGUCUGAUACUGGAUGGCUUGAGUUUGGGAGAGGGACGCGGAAUUCCAGGUGUAGCGGUGAAAUGCGUAGAUAUCUGGAGGAACACCGGUGGCGAAGGCGGCGUCCUGGACCAACACUGACACUGAGGCGCGAAAGCCAGGGGAGCGAACGGG